rnacentral:tRNA from 1 species
GGCUUUAUAGUCAAUGAUGAUAUUAGACUGCAAUUCUAAAGGAGUAGGUAAAACCUAUUAAGGCUU